GAACAGUGUUCAAGGUGGUUACUGAUAGAAUGAGUAUUAGACAACGUGUUUGGUAUGUAAAUGUUUUGAAAAGUGAAAAUGAUGAAGUCAUACGGAAAGUGAUGUGUUUUUGGAAACAUGUAAGACACUCGACGUCCUUACACGGCCAUCGAGUUCUUUCCUUGACCUGCUGUCCAUCGGAGUGCACGAUCUUAUGGGACACAGUCGAUUUUCUAGGAUUGUCACCUUCACACAAACAUUCGAUAGUGUUCAAUGAUUUGUAUACUUUCCAGAAACGAGCUCGGAAGUUCCGUUGCACGACGAUAAAAACAUUCUUCCCGUUUAAUUGAAGAGCACGCCACGCUUUCUCCGCCACAUGAACAGCCAUGUUGGUUUACCGGUCACGUGACGGAGACCAGUGUAAACAAAACAGAUCGAAACUAUUAACUUGCCGCCGUUGCGUCAUGUGAUCGUAAAGUCAAUGUGGCAGCGCGCGCAGAUGGAAAGGUAUUUUGUGUUCUGUAAUCAAGUGAAAGAGGCGCGUUAAAUGUUGCGUAACAGAAGUUUUGAACUCGUUUCGACAAAUUACAUAAGGAAUUUGAGGUAAUUAGAUGUACGCGUGAACCGGACAGUCCUAGAAAAUCGUGUCUGUGUGUGUUGUGACGAAGAUCAUCAACAUUGCCUGAACGUCACUCCAGGAGUUCAAAAGAACAAAGCUGCGAAGCUGUUCAGGAACUCGAAUACUCCAAGACUCAGCUGCCAGGCGAAGCCAGCAAACGCCUCGUCCGCAACAGAGCACCAUGGACAGAAGCAGUUAUGCGCGCGAGGA